rnacentral:lncRNA from 1 species
UGAGAUUUUUUUUAAACCUGAUGUCACAUCCAGGACAAACAAGAGAAGUCCUUUUAACCAAAUAGGACUCCUAUAUAACAAGAGUCUUUGAGAAGAGAGUCGUAUGACCUAAGAUGUCCCCUCCAACUACUUUGAUAUAAUGGCACAUGGAAGUGUGUCAUAAAGUGGGAGAAAAAGUGCAAGAAUUCCUCAAGACCCAUAUGUAAGGUUUUCUAUAAUUCACUUUGUAUGCUACAAUUGUUUGCCCUGCAUAGUGCCAGGAAGAUAUAAAAAUGUGAAAUGAACAAAUAUUGUUUAAGAGUUUAAAGAUACUUUGGAUGUCAUGACUCCAAUAAUAUUACCUUACAGAUCAACACCUGUGUUAGUCCAUUCUCAUGCUGCUAUGAAGAAAUACCUGAGACUGGGUCCAACACCAUAUGGAAGCUGCCAAGGCUUGAAGCAAUGGCCUAAGCUGGAUCUCGACCCCUUUUAGCCACAGCUGAAACUGGAAUGGCUGGGAUGCAGGACACCAAGUCCCAAGGCUGCACAGAGCAACAGGUCCCUGGGCCAGGCCCAGCAUUAGGCCUAUCAAGUGUCAUGCACAGCUCAAGAGGAAAUGCUAUCUGGAAAUCCCCCAACUCCCAUGGAAAUUCCCAGCUGGCUCCCUGUACACUGCAGAUACCUGAAGUGGUUUUGAAGACUGGGCAGCUAAGACCUAAGUGAAGAAGAAUUCCUCCCCUGCAAGGAUGACCAAGAACCCAGCCGCUCUGUUUCCUUCCCGACUGGAGUCCUCUUCUCCACUGGGACCAGCUGUAUCCACCUGACCUCCAAGAGCACUCUCCAUGCCACGCACAGGGCACUGAGUGAACACCCACCUCAUUUCUCCCAGCAUGGAAAGUCAUUCCAGGAAUUCUGUGGGCAGUGGAGAGGCCCUUCCCCUUCCAGCAUGGGAAAGCCAGGCUGGUUGGGAAGCAGCUCAACUCAAGCUGCUGCUGAUACAGGUGCCCUCUCCUAGCCCCUCCCUUGUCCCCACCUGCAUUUCACCUCAAUUUCUAUCUGCAUAUGUGUCAAGUUCUCCCAAAUCCAGCAGCCACCAUGCCUGGCCUCACCAAGGGCUUGCCUCAUCUGAGCUAUUUCAGUAUAAAUAUUG